AGCAGCCGCGGUAAUUCCAGCUCCAAUAGCGUAUAUUAAAGUUGCUGCAGUUAAAAAGCUCGUAGUUGAAUUUCGGGACCAUCAUGUCGGUCGUGCCUCGGUACGUACUGGCAUUGUUGGUUUCUACCUUCUGACGAACCAUGAUGUCAUUUAUUUGGUGUCGUGGGAAAUCAGGACUGUUACUUUGAAAAAUUAGAGUGUUUAAAGCAGGCUCACGCUUGAAUACAUUAGCAUGGAAUAAUGAAAUAGGACGUUUGAUUCUAUUUUGUUGGUUUCUAGGAUCGACGUAAUGAUUAAUAGGGAUAGUUGGGGGCAUUAGUAUUCAAUUGUCAGAGGUGAAAUUCUUGGAUUUAUUGAAGACUAACUACUGCGAAAGCAUUUGCCAAGGGUGUUUUCAUUAAUCAAGAACGAAAGUUAGGGGAUCGAAGACGAUCAGAUACCGUCGUAGUCUUAACCAUAAACUAUGCCGACUAGGGAUCGGAUGAUGUUAAUUUUUAAUGACUCAUUCGGCGUACCCG
rnacentral:rRNA from 1 species